AAUGAACGCUGGCGGCAGGCCUAACACAUGCAAGUCGAGCGGAUGAAGGGAGCUUGCUCCUGGAUUCAGCGGCGGACGGGUGAGUAAUGCCUAGGAAUCUGCCUGGUAGUGGGGGAUAACGUCCGGAAACGGGCGCUAAUACCGCAUACGUCCUGAGGGAGAAAGUGGGGGAUCUUCGGACCUCAUGCUAUCAGAUGAGCCUAGGUCGGAUUAGCUAGUUGGUGGGGUAAAGGCCUACCAAGGCGACGAUCCGUAACUGGUCUGAGAGGAUGAUCAGUCACACGGGAACUGAGACACGGUCCAGACUCCUACGGGAGGCAGCAGUGGGGAAUAUUGGACAAUGGGCGAAAGCCUGAUCCAGCCAUGCCGCGUGUGUGAAGAAGGUCUUCGGAUUGUAAAGCACUUUAAGUUGGGAGGAAGGGCAGUAAGUUAAUACCUUGCUGUUUUGACGUUACCAACAGAAUAAGCACCGGCUAACUUCGUG
rnacentral:rRNA from 1 species